CCUACGGGAGGCAGCAGUGGGGAAUAUUGGGCAAUGGAGGCAACUCUUACCCAGCAAUGCCGCGUGAAUGAAGAAGGUCUUCGGAUUGUAAAGUUCUUUAAUUGGGGACGAAAAAAAUGACGGUACCCAAGGAAUAAGCCCCGGCUAACUACGUGCCAGCAGCCGCGGUACUACGGAGGAUGCGAUCGUUAUCCGGAUUUAUUGGGUUUAAAGGGUGCGUAGGCGGUCCGUUAAGUCAGCGGUAAAAUUGCGGGGCUCAACCCUGUCGAGCCGUUGAAACUGGCAGACUUGAGUUGGCGAGAAGUACGCGGAAUGCGCGGUGUAGCGGUGAAAUGCAUAGAUAUCGCGCAGAACUCCGAUUGCGAAGGCAGCGUACCGGCGCCAGACUGACGCUGAGGCACGAAAGCGUGGGGAUCGAACAGGAUUAGAUACCCUUGUAGUC
rnacentral:rRNA from 1 species